CCAGCAGCUGCGGUAAUUCCAGCUCCAAUAGCGUAUAUUAAAGUUGCUGCAGUUAAAAAGCUCGUAGUUGGAUCUCGGGUACAGGCCUGCGGUCCGCCUCGCGGCGGCCACUGCUCGCCCUGACCUCCAGGCCGGUGUUCACCGUCCCCUGGUGCUCUUGACUGAGUGUCUCGGGCGGCCGGCGCGUUUACUUUGAAGAAAUUAGAGUGCUCAAGGCAGGCCCUCGCCGCCUGCAUAAUGAUGCAUGGAAUAAUGGAAUAGGACCUCGGUUCUAUUUUGUUGGCUCUCGGAGCUCGAGGUAAUGAUUAAUAGGGACGGACGGGGGCAUUCGUAUUGCGGCGCUAGAGGUGAAAUUCUUGGACCGUCGCAAGACGAACUACAGCGAAAGCAUUUGCCAAGCACGCUUUCAUUAAUCAAGAACGAAAGU
rnacentral:rRNA from 1 species